AGAAACAGCUCUGCUACUUCAGCUCUGCUCACCUUGGAAAUUGAAUUUAAAGCACUGACCAUGUGUAACAGCAAUGUCUGAUUCACAUUAUAGACGUGUUAGUGAGACACAGAUGAGCACCUACCUACAUCUCAUCAGCUGAGCAGCUCUCCUGACUCUACUGAGCUCACCAUCUCGGUGACCUCCUGGCCUGGGGCUCUGUUUGCUGCCCACAUUUGGUGGCAGGUACCAGGUGAGACACCCAGGCACACCUGAGGCCACCAGCCAACAGAGGACUGAUGGAAGAGGACUAAUAGAUGAGCAGAGGAUGAGCAGAGGACUAAUGGAAGAGUGUUGCCUUCUGGAGCUGCUCACAGAGAUUAAAAUAACAGAAGAGGGACAACAAACGAUGUCAGGAAGAUGUGCCUGAGCAUGUGAAAUGAAGAGUGUGAGUAAAUAGGACAGCUGGCUUCGGAGCAGUUCCGCAUCCUGAUUGAUGCCAGGCAAGCAGAGAGGUGGCAGUGAUGGUCACUGACCUCCCAGAGGAGCACUCGUGGGAGAGGAGGUGGGUGGACACAGGAGGGAAGUCUUUAAUGAUGGAGCAGCCUUGUCUCGCCUGAAGGAUGGAGCUGACUUGUUUGGAGGCAAGGCAGAGACCACCAGGCAUGCAGGCAUUUAUGUUCCUCUCUAUCUCCACUUUCCCCUUCCUCUGCCAGGCAGCUCUGUGGACCUCAAGGUGCUUAUGAAGACCAUAUGCCUUCAGAAGGGAUUUCUGUCUUGGGCGUGUUAUCUCAAGUACUCCACAGAGAUCGCAGAAAACUCUCCAGCAAAUUCUUCUCCAUCUCAGAAGUGAGUGCCAGGACCUGUCACAGGCUGAGGGACAUUUACAGCCUGCUGGGUCAUACAGAGAAGAGCCACAGCACUUGGCUGGGGAAUGGCCCCUCUCUCAGGGCUCAUUUCAAGCCCAAUGCCCCUUGAUGGAUAUUGUCCCUCUGGCCCCUUUCUUCUGCUCUGAAAGACCACGCACCAGAAGCUGCUUGUCUGUGGAUGAUCUGCCAACCAGCUGUGGAGCACGUGGAGUCACAGAGCAAGAGAAAGGCUCCAGCAACACACUGCAAAUGGAUGGGACGACCUCCUUUAUGAGAGAUGGUGUGGAGGGAGCCAACUGCGUGACUCCUGCACUCUGCGUGGGGUGGCAGAGGUCUCGCUUGCUCCACGCCUCCAGCUGACUGCUGCUGCUGCUGCAAAAGGGGAAAGGCCCAGGAGCCCAUUUCCAGCUCACACAAGCAUCCCCGGUUGCUCACUGUGGCUCAGAUGUAGAAAAGGGCUUGGAUUUGUUGCUCGGAGCAGUCGUGCUGCGGCAUAUAGCAGUAAGCCUUCUCAACAUGUCUGCACGAAGGACGAACCUGACACUUCUGAGCCUGUAGCUGAGCGCCAAAUGGAAAACAGAGACUAGCGAAGGGGUUUUUUUCCACCUCUGGUUUUGUGGGGGAGAAAACUGUAAAAUUUUGCUCAAAAGCAGUUUUGUGUCUGCAAACAGGAUUUAUUUUUAUGAGAUUUAUUUUUAAUUCCAUCCAGAUGUUUAUUUAUAAAAUAAUUUAGGACUUAUAUCCAAACAGACAUCAAAGAAACCUUCUGGGAGUAGCACUGUCAGUAGCAAAGGGUUUUAAUGAUCCACAAGGCGAGUGAAUGGGUUUGAAGAGUGUCAGAGUGCCUUGGGGGAGAGCAUGCAUGGAUCCAAUUAGGAACCCCUUCUGAGGUCCCUCCGACAUGGCAGGAAAGAUGCCUCCUUUGGGAGCGGGAUGCCAACUAUUACACACAGCGUCAUUUGGGGUAUUGCAGAGCACACACGCUUCCCUGAAGACACUACCAGGAAAAUACCUGUCUUAAAGAGUGCCCCAUAAGCUAGCCAUAAUGACAAUACCCUCAGGCCAUUCCCAGCCCUUGGUGGAGGUGGGUGACCCAGGCAGGGCACGUGGGGAGCAGCCGUGCACCCGUUGUGGUUUCCCAGACCUGGGGCAUGUGCUGCUGCCAGAGCCCCUGUGCCAACACGAGGCCAGGGUUGUCCUGCUGGGGUGGUCUGGAAGGCGCCAGAUGCCCCAGGUGCUCCCAAGACUACCCUGUAGUAUCCCUAAUUCCCUUUCAUGCAGCCUGUAAAUCCCACCUCUCCUUGCAGCAGGUGAU